rnacentral:tRNA from 1 species
GUGUGUUUAGCUCAGUGGGAUUAGAGCAACUCUUGUGAAUGUAGAAGGUUGUGGGUUCAGAUUCCACAACACACA